rnacentral:rRNA from 1 species
CCUACGGGAGGCAGCAGUGGGGAAUAUUGGACAAUGGGCGAAAGCCUGAUCCAGCCAUGCCGCGUGUGUGAAGAAGGCCUUCGGGUUGUAAAGCACUUUCAGAGGGGAAGAAAGCCUUGGGGCUAAUACCCUCGAGGAAGGACAUCACCCACAGAAGAAGCACCGGCUAACUCCGUGCCAGCAGCCGCGGUAAUACGGAGGGUGCGAGCGUUAAUCGGAAUUACUGGGCGUAAAGCGCGCGUAGGCGGUCUGAUAAGCCGGUUGUGAAAGCCCCGGGCUCAACCUGGGAACGGCAUCCGGAACUGUCAGGCUAGAGUGCAGGAGAGGAAGGUAGAAUUCCCGGUGUAGCGGUGAAAUGCGUAGAGAUCGGGAGGAAUACCAGUGGCGAAGGCGGCCUUCUGGACUGACACUGACGCUGAGGUGCGAAAGCGUGGGUAGCAAACAGGAUUAGAUACCCCAGUAGUC